rnacentral:rRNA from 1 species
UUAAGUGAAUAAGGGCGCACGGUGGAUGCCUUGGCACUAGGAGCCGAUGAAGGACGGGACUAACACCGAUAUGCUUUGGGGAGCUGUACGUAAGCUAUGAUCCAGAGAUUUCCGAAUGGGGGAACCCAACAUCUUUAAUAGGAUGUUACGAUUGUGUGAAUACAUAGCACAUUCGAGGUAGACGCAGAGAACUGAAACAUCUAAGUACCUGCAGGAAGAGAAAGAAAAUUCGAUUCCCUGAGUAGCGGCGAGCGAAACGGGAAAAGCCCAAACCAGCAAGCUUGCUUGUUGGGGUUGUAGGACUCCAAUAUGGUAGUUCUUUCAGAUAGUCGAAUGACUUGGAAAAGUCAGUCAAAGAGGGUAAAAACCCCGUAGACGAAAUGUGGAAGACACCUAGGAGGAUCCUGAGUACGGCGGAACACGAGAAAUUCCGUCGGAAUCCGGGAGGACCAUCUCCCAAGGCUAAAUACUCCCUAGUGACCGAUAGUGAACCAGUACCGUGAGGGAAAGGUGAAAAGCACCCCGGAAGGGGAGUGAAAUAGAACCUGAAACCGUGUGCCUACAACAAGUCAAAGCCCGUUAAUGGGUGAUGGCGUGCCUUUUGUAGAAUGAACCGGCGAGUUACGAUUGCAUGCGAGGUUAAGUUGAAGAGACGGAGCCGCAGCGAAAGCGAGUCUGAAUAGGGCGUUUGAGUAUGUAGUCGUAGACCCGAAACCAUGUGAUCUACCCAUGUCCAGGUUGAAGGUGCGGUAAAACGCACUGGAGGACCGAACCCACGUACGUUGAAAAGUGCGGGGAUGAGGUGUGGGUAGCGGAGAAAUUCCAAACGAACUUGGAGAUAGCUGGUUCUCUCCGAAAUAGCUUUAGGGCUAGCCUCGGAAUUGAGAAUGAUGGAGGUAGAGCACUGUUUGGACUAGGGGCCCAUCUCGGGUUACCGAAUUCAGAUAAACUCCGAAUGCCAUUCAUUCAUAUCCGGGAGUCAGACUGUGAGUGAUAAGAUCCAUAGUCGAAAGGGAAACAGCCCAGACCACCAGCUAAGGUCCCAAAAUAUAUGUUAAGUGGAAAAGGAUGUGGGGUUGCACAGACAACUAGGAUGUUGGCUUAGAAGCAGCCAUCAUUUAAAGAGUGCGUAAUAGCUCACUAGUCGAGUGACCCUGCGCCGAAAAUGUACCGGGGCUAAACAUAUUACCGAAGCUGUGGAGUACACCUUUAGGUGUAUUGGUAGGAGAGCGUUCUAAGGGCGUUGAAGGCAGAUCGUGAGGACUGCUGGAGCGCUUAGAAGUGAGAAUGCCGGUAUGAGUAGCGAAAGACAGGUGAGAAUCCUGUCCACCGAAUGACUAAGGUUUCCUGGGGAAGGCUCGUCCGCCCAGGGUUAGUCGGGACCUAAGCCGAGGCCGACAGGCGUAGGCGAUGGAUAACAGGUUGAUAUUCCUGUACCCGUUGUUUUUGUUUGAGCAAUGGAGGGACGCAGGAGGCUAAGGAAUGCAGACGAUCGGAAAUGUCUGUCCAAGCAGUAAGUCUGAAGAGGAGUCAAAUGCUUCUUUUCUUAAGGACAAGCUGUGAUGGGGAGGGAAAUAAUAGUACCGAAGUUCCUGAUGUCACACUGCCGAGAAAAGCUUCUAGUGAGAAAACAGCGGCCCGUACCGCAAACCGACACAGGUAGUCGAGGAGAGAAUCCUAAGGUGAGCGAGAGAACUCUCGUUAAGGAACUCGGCAAAAUGACCCCGUAACUUCGGGAGAAGGGGUGCUGAUCAUACGAUCAGCCGCAGUGAAUAGGCCCAAGCGACUGUUUAUCAAAAACACAGGUCUCUGCAAAAUCGUAAGAUGAAGUAUAGGGGCUGACGCCUGCCCGGUGCUGGAAGGUUAAGAGGAGUGCUUAGCGCAAGCGAAGGUACGAAUUGAAGCCCCAGUAAACGGCGGCCGUAACUAUAACGGUCCUAAGGUAGCGAAAUUCCUUGUCGGGUAAGUUCCGACCCGCACGAAAGGCGUAACGAUUUGGGCACUGUCUCAACGAGAGACUCGGUGAAAUUUUAGUACCUGUGAAGAUGCAGGUUACCCGCGACAGGACGGAAAGACCCCAUGGAGCUUUACUGUAGUUUGAUAUUGAGUGUCUGUACCGCAUGUACAGGAUAGGUAGGAGCCGUAGAAAUCGGAACGCUAGUUUCGAUGGAGGCGCUGGUGGGAUACUACCCCUGCGUUAUGGCCACUCUAACCCGCACCACUAAUCGUGGUGGGAGACAGUGUCAGAUGGGCAGUUUGACUGGGGCGGUCGCCUCCUAAAAGGUAACGGAGGCGCCCAAAGGUUCCCUCAGAAUGGUUGGAAAUCAUUCGAAGAGUGUAAAGGCAGAAGGGAGCUUGACUGCGAGACCAACAAGUCGAGCAGGGACGAAAGUCGGGCUUAGUGAUCCGGUGGUUCCGCAUGGAAGGGCCAUCGCUCAACGGAUAAAAGCUACCCUGGGGAUAACAGGCUUAUCUCCCCCAAGAGUCCACAUCGACGGGGAGGUUUGGCACCUCGAUGUCGGCUCGUCGCAUCCUGGGGCUGUAGUCGGUCCCAAGGGUUGGGCUGUUCGCCCAUUAAAGCGGCACGCGAGCUGGGUUCAGAACGUCGUGAGACAGUUCGGUCCCUAUCCGUCGCGGGCGUUGGAAAUUUGAGAGGAGCUGUCCUUAGUACGAGAGGACCGGGAUGGACUUACCGCUGGUGUACCAGUUGUU